rnacentral:rRNA from 1 species
GAUGAACGCUAGCUACAGGCUUAACACAUGCAAGUCGAGGGGCAGCACAGUGUAGCAAUACAUGGGUGGCGACCGGCGCACGGGUGCGUAACGCGUAUCCAACCUUCCCGUUACUCAGGGAUAGCCUUCCGAAAGGGAGAUUAAUACCUGAUGGUGUUCAAAUUCCGCAUGUUAUUCGAACUAAAGAUUUAUCGGUAUCGGAUGGGGAUGCGUGACAUUAGAUAGUAGGCGGGGUAACGGCCCACCUAGUCUACGAUGUCUAGGGGUUCCGAGAGGAAGGUACCCCACACUGGAACUGAGACACGGUCCAGACUCCUACGGGAGGCAGCAGUGAGGAAUAUUGGUCAAUGGUCGGAAGACUGAACCAGCCAAGUAGCGUGAAGGAUGAAGGUUCUAUGGAUUGUAAACUUCUUUUAUACGGGAAUAAAACCUCCCACGUGUGGGAGCUUGUAUGUACCGUAUGAAUAAGCAUCGGCUAACUCCGUGCCAGCCGCCGCCGUAAGAC